AACGAACGCUGGCGGCAGGCCUAAUACAUGCAAGUCGAACGCCGUAGCAAUACGGAGUGGCAGACGGGUGAGUAACGCGUGGGAACCUUCCUAAUGGUACGGAAUAGCCCGGGGAAACCGAGUAAUACCGUAUAAGCCCGUAAGGGGAAAGAUUUAUCGCCAUUAGAUGGGCCCGNGUCGGAUUAGCUAGUUGGUAGGUAACGGCCUACCAAGGCUACGAUCCGUAGCUGGUCUGAGAGGAUGAUCAGCCACACUGGGACUGAGACACGGCCCAGACUCCUACGGAGGCAGCAGUAGGGAUAUUGGACAAUGGGCGAAGCCUGAUCCAGCCAUGCCGCGUGAGUGAUGAA
rnacentral:rRNA from 1 species